rnacentral:rRNA from 1 species
AAUCUGACCUCAAAUCAGGUAGGACUACCCGCUGAACUUAAGCAUAUCAAUAAGCGGAGGAAAAGAAACUAACAAGGAUUCCCCUAGUAACUGCGAGUGAAGCGGGAAAAGCUCAAAUUUGAAAUCUGGCGGCUCUGCCGUCCGAGUUGUAUUCUGGAGAAGCGUUUUCCGCGCCGGACCGUGUACAAGUGCCUUGGAACAGGACGUCAUAGAGGGUGAGAAUCCCGUCUUUGACACGGACCCCCGGUGCUCUGUGAUGCGCUCUCGAAGAGUCGAGUUGUUUGGGAAUGCAGCUCAAAAUGGGUGGUAAAUUCCAUCUAAAGCUAAAUAUUGGCGAGAGACCGAUAGCGAACAAGUACCGUGAGGGAAAGAUGAAAAGAACUUUGGAAAGAGAGUUAAACAGUACGUGAAAUUGUUGAAAGGGAAACGCUUGAAGUCAGUCGCGUUGGCCGGGGAUCAACCUUGCUUUAGCUUGGUGUACUUCCUGGUUGACGGGUCAGCAUCAAUUUUGACCAGUGGAUAAAGGUCAGGGGAAUGUGGCAUCUUCGGAUGUGUUAUAGCCCUUGGUCGCAUACAUUGGUUGGGAUUGAGGAACUCAGCACGCCGCAAGGCCGGGUUUUUAACCACGCACGUGCUUAGGAUGCUGGCAUAAUGGCUUUAAUCGACCCGUCUUGAAACACGGACCAAGGAGUCUAACAUGCCUGCGAGUGUUUGGGUGGAAAACCCGGACGCGCAAUGAAAGUGAAAGUUGAGAUCCCUGUCGCGGGGAGCAUCGACGCCCGGACCAGACCUUUUUGUGACGGUCCCGCGGUAGAGCAUGUAUGUUG